rnacentral:rRNA from 1 species
CAGUCGCCGCGGUAACACGAAGGGUGCAAGCGUUAAUCGGAAUUACUGGGCGUAAAGCGUGCGUAGGCGGUGAGUUAAGUCUGCUAUGAAAUCCCCGGGCUCAACCUGGGAAUGGCAGUGGAUACUGGCAAGCUAGAGUGUGUCAGAGGAUGGUGGAAUUCCCGGUGUAGCGGUGAAAUGCGUAGAGAUCGGGAGGAACAUCAGUGGCGAAGGCGGCCCUGGGCCAACACUGACGCUCAUGCACGAAAGCGUGGGGAGCAAACAGGAUUAGAUACCCGCGUAGUCCCUGUCUCUUAUACAC